AUUGCUAGGGCCGCUCCCUUAGGCCCAGUGGCUGCAGACCUGCCGGGGCGCAGAGAUGGAGAUGCCCAGAUGGCAGGGAGAGAUCCUAAACCCUCAGCCUUGCCCUGGCCCACCGCGGAAUGGCCCGGAGAGAUGGGGGGUUGGGGAAGAACAACAGGAUGGGGAAGGGAGGGCCAAUCAGGCUCAUCUGAAUGUAGGUCAGCCACACCCCACAUAUUGAAUACCAAGAAUCCAUCCCCUGAGAAAGGGCACCCAGGCCGGCCCUACCCCCAGCCUCGCGUCUGGUCCAAGGAGGUCCCAGGGCAGGAAUUAGAAGAGCAUGUCACUAUAUUUCCAGUUGGGGAGGGGUGCUGAGUCUGAGUGAGGAGGUGGUUUCAGUGCCAGGAGGAAUAGAAACUGGCCUGCGGACUGAAUGGGCCUUGAACCCCUGUGACCACUCCCUUCAAGAAUGUGCCCCAACCUUACGGACAAGUGACUCAAAGGAGCCUGAGGGGGAUGGGAGCAAGGAUUUGGGGCCCUUCCUGUAAAACCUGGCUGACACACAAACCUAGCUGGGGUGAGGCUCCAGGU
rnacentral:lncRNA from 1 species